rnacentral:rRNA from 1 species
AGCGAACGCUGGCGGCAGGCCUAACACAUGCAAGUCGAACGAACCUUUCGGGGUUAGUGGCGGACGGGUGAGUAACACGUGGGAACGUGCCUUUAGGUUCGGAAUAACUCAGGGAAACUUGUGCUAAUACCGAAUGUGCCCUUCGGGGGAAAGAUUUAUCGCCUUUAGAGCGGCCCGCGUCUGAUUAGCUAGUUGGUUGAGGUAAUGGCUCACCAAGGCGACGAUCAGUAGCUGGUCUGAGAGGAUGAUCAGCCACAUUGGGACUGAGACACGGCCCAAACUCCUACGGGAUGCAGCAGUGGGGAAUCUUGCGCAAUGGGCGAAAGCCUGACGCAGCCAUGCCGCGUGAAUGAUGACGGUCUUAGGAUUGUAAAAUUCUUUAACCGGGGACGAUAAUGACGGUACCCGGAGAAGAAGCCCCGGCUAACUUCGUG